rnacentral:rRNA from 1 species
CUAAGUACCCCGAGGAAAAGAAAUCAACCGAGAUUCCCCCAGUAGCGGCGAGCGAACGGGGAGCAGCCCAGAGCCUGAAUCAGUGUGUGUGUUAGUGGAAGCGUCUGGAAAGGCGCGCGAUACAGGGUGACAGCCCCGUACACAAAAAUGCACAUACUGUGAGCUCGAUGAGUAGGGCGGGACACGUGGUAUCCUGUCUGAAUAUGGGGGGACCAUCCUCCAAGGCUAAAUACUCCUGACUGACCGAUAGUGAACCAGUACCGUGAGGGAAAGGCGAAAAGAACCCCGGCGAGGGGAGUGAAAAAGAACCUGAAACCGUGUACGUACAAGCAGUGGGAGCCUCUUAAUGGGGUGACUGCGUACCUUUUGUAUAAUGGGUCAGCGACUUAUAUUCUGUAGCAAGGUUAACCGAAUAGGGGAGCCGAAGGGAAACCGAGUCUUAACUGGGCGUUAAGUUGCAGGGUAUAGACCCGAAACCCGGUGAUCUAGCCAUGGGCAGGUUGAAGGUUGGGUAACACUAACUGGAGGACCGAACCGACUAAUGUUGAAAAAUUAGCGGAUGACUUGUGGCUGGGGGUGAAAGGCCAAUCAAACCGGGAGAUAGCUGGUUCUCCCCGAAAGCUAUUUAGGUAGCGCCUCGUGAAUUCAUCUCCGGGGGUAGAGCACUGUUUCGGCAAGGGGGUCAUCCCGACUUACCAACCCGAUGCAAACUGCGAAUACCGGAGAAUGUUAUCACGGGAGACACACGGCGGGUGCUAACGUCCGUCGUGAAGAGGGAAACAACCCAGACCGCCAGCUAAGGUCCCAAAGUCAUGGUUAAGUGGGAAACGAUGUGGGAAGGCCCAGACAGCCAGGAUGUUGGCUUAGAAGCAGCCAUCAUUUAAAGAAAGCGUAAUAGCUCACUGGUCGAGUCGGCCUGCGCGGAAGAUGUAACGGGGCUAAACCAUGCACCGAAGCUGCGGCAGCGACACUAUGUGUUGUUGGGUAGGGGAGCGUUCUGUAAGCCUGUGAAGGUGUACUGUGAGGUAUGCUGGAGGUAUCAGAAGUGCGAAUGCUGACAUAAGUAACGAUAAAGCGGGUGAAAAGCCCGCUCGCCGGAAGACCAAGGGUUCCUGUCCAACGUUAAUCGGGGCAGGGUGAGUCGACCCCUAAGGCGAGGCCGAAAGGCGUAGUCGAUGGGAAACAGGUUAAUAUUCCUGUACUUGGUGUUACUGCGAAGGGGGGACGGAGAAGGCUAUGUUGGCCGGGCGACGGUUGUCCCGGUUUAAGCGUGUAGGCUGGUUUUCCAGGCAAAUCCGGAAAAUCAAGGCUGAGGCGUGAUGACGAGGCACUACGGUGCUGAAGCAACAAAUGCCCUGCUUCCAGGAAAAGCCUCUAAGCAUCAGGUAACAUCAAAUCGUACCCCAAACCGACACAGGUGGUCAGGUAGAGAAUACCAAGGCGCUUGAGAGAACUCGGGUGAAGGAACUAGGCAAAAUGGUGCCGUAACUUCGGGAGAAGGCACGCUGAUAUGUAGGUGAAGUCCCUUGCGGAUGGAGCUGAAAUCAGUCGAAGAUACCAGCUGGCUGCAACUGUUUAUUAAAAACACAGCACUGUGCAAACACGAAAGUGGACGUAUACGGUGUGACGCCUGCCCGGUGCCGGAAGGUUAAUUGAUGGGGUUAGCGGUAACGCGAAGCUCUUGAUCGAAGCCCCGGUAAACGGCGGCCGUAACUAUAACGGUCCUAAGGUAGCGAAAUUCCUUGUCGGGUAAGUUCCGACCUGCACGAAUGGCGUAAUGAUGGCCAGGCUGUCUCCACCCGAGACUCAGUGAAAUUGAACUCGCUGUGAAGAUGCAGUGUACCCGCGGCAAGACGGAAAGACCCCGUGAACCUUUACUAUAGCUUGACACUGAACAUUGAGCCUUGAUGUGUAGGAUAGGUGGGAGGCUUUGAAGUGUGGACGCCAGUCUGCAUGGAGCCGGCCUUGAAAUACCACCCUUUAAUGUUUGAUGUUCUAACGUUGGCCCCUGAUCGGGGUUGCGGACAGUGUCUGGUGGGUAGUUUGACUGGGGCGGUCUCCUCCUAAAGAGUAACGGAGGAGCACGAAGGUUGGCUAAUCCUGGUCGGACAUCAGGAGGUUAGUGCAAUGGCAUAAGCCAGCUUGACUGCGAGCGUGACGGCGCGAGCAGGUGCGAAAGCAGGUCAUAGUGAUCCGGUGGUUCUGAAUGGAAGGGCCAUCGCUCAACGGAUAAAAGGUACUCCGGGGAUAACAGGCUGAUACCGCCCAAGAGUUCAUAUCGACGGCGGUGUUUGGCACCUCGAUGUCGGCUCAUCACAUCCUGGGGCUGAAGUAGGUCCCAAGGGUAUGGCUGUUCGCCAUUUAAAGUGGUACGCGAGCUGGGUUUAGAACGUCGUGAGACAGUUCGGUCCCUAUCUGCCGUGGGCGCUGGAGAACUGAGGGGGGCUGCUCCUAGUACGAGAGGACCGGAGUGGACGCAUCACUGGUGUUCGGGUUGUCAUGCCAAUGGCACUGCCCGGUAGCUAAAUGCGGAAGAGAUAAGUGCUGAAAGCAUCUAAGCACGAAACUUGCCCCGAGAUGAGUUCUCCCUGACUCCUUGAGAGUCCUGAAGGAACGUUGAAGACGACGACGUUGAUAGGCCGGGUGUGUAAGCGCAGCGAUGCGUUGAGCUAACCGGUACUAAUGAACCGUGAGGCUUAACCUU